rnacentral:misc_RNA from 1 species
AAAAAUGGUUUUCAUCAGAAAAUCUUGCUCUUUAACAAUUUGGAAAGCUGACAAAACAACAAUUUAUUGUUGUUUGUAAAGUUCUCAAUGUUUAUCGAAAGAUAAACACCAACAACACAUUCAAGUGUGCUUGGUAUCGAAUAAGACUUCGGUCUUAUUCAAAAUUUGAGUCCGGCAAAAUCUGUCUCGCACUCAUGUAAAUUAAACGCGAGACAACUUAGGUUGUUUAAACAACAACCCGAAACUC